CUUGGUCAUUUAGAGGAAGUAAAAGUCGUAACAAGGUUUCCGUAGGUGAACCUGCGGAAGGAUCAUUACCUUUCAUGUCUUUAAUUAGGCAGUCGGGGGGCUUCGUAUGCGUUACAACCUAGGUUGCAUCGCCUGCGGCCCCUGUCUGAACCCGUGUCUUUGCGUACUACUUGUUUCCUUGGUGGGCUUGCCUGCCAAAUGGACUACAUUAAACCCUUGUAAUUGCAAUCAGCGUCUGAAAAUAAUAAUAAUUACAACUUUCAACAACGGAUCUCUUGGCUCUGGCAUCGAUGAAGAACGCAGCGAAAUGCGAUAAGUAGUGUGAAUUGCAGAAUUCAGUGAAUCAUCGAAUCUUUGAACGCACAUUGCGCCCCUUGGUAUUCCAUGGGGCAUGCCUGUUCGAGCGUCAUUUGUACCCUCAAGCCAUGCUUGGUGUUGGGUGAUUGUCUACUCGCUUGGGUAGACUCGCCUCAAAUUCAUUGGCAGCUGGUAUUCUGGUUUUAAGCGUAGCACAAUUACGUUUCAUUCUGGGGAGCCCGCGUCCACGAAGCACAUUAUCACGUUUGACCUCGGAUCAGGUAGGGAUACCCGCUGAACUUAAGCAUAUCAAUAAGCGGAGGA
rnacentral:rRNA from 1 species